CUUGUGGGCAGGAACCCAGAGGGCUCCAGGACGCUCCAGGACGCUCUCAGCUGCCCGAUGCGCCCCCCAUGCUGAGGCCAGGACCACGUGUGCACACAGGUGUCAUCCACCCCAGGGUUCCACCCGGCCGUCUCUGCCUCUUCUCCCCAUGUCAUUCAGUGCUCCAUCGGCCCUGCGACUGGUGAUGAAUCUCCAUGGGAUUCAAGGGCAUCCUCUGAAUGUGCCACCCUUGGCGUAAACGGGACUCUGCCGUGGGUCGCUGUUAGUGUGUGAGGUUGGGGCCAGCUUUGUCCUGGGUUCACAGAGCCAACUGUCCCCUGGAGCCUGCUCUGCUGGGCGCACGAGGAUGCUGGCUCUGGCGCAUGGGGACGCAUCCUCUACUACAGAUGUCAGCUGCCCUCCUUCACUGCAGACACGGGACGUCAGAGCAAUGGGGCUCCUGGUUUGCUGCAUUGCUGCACCUUGGCCAUUUGUCAAGCAACCUCUGUGCUGUCGUGGCACUGGGGACCCUACUGUGAACCUACAGAUCCCCUGUCCUUGCGGGGGGUUCCCUCUAACGAGGAAGGCAGAGACGGCUCCCUGAGAGUGGCCUUGGAGAGCCGUCCAGGUGACAGAGAGCUGUCUGCACCUUGUCCCUGGCCCCUGGGCUAUGGAGACAGCACGAGUUUCUGCCCGCCAUUCCGGUCUUCUGUCAUCUGCCAGCACAGGGGGUGGUGUGCUGGGCACCGACCCCCACCUGGAAUUGCUGGACGGGAGUCCAGUGUCCUUCUAGAACAAGGGGCUUCCAUUCAGGCCGCUGGGACACACAUCGCUGGGAACUCCCUGCUUUGGGUCUCGUUUGCUGCCGGAGAGAGUGCGGGGGCUUGGGUGCUGCCGGGGGUGGCCGGCGGUUCCCCUGCGACAACCGGCCUAGACGUGCAAGGAGCAAAGCGGGGGCUCUCUCCCCCUUCGUAAAAUGAUAAUCCAUCACUGUGGUGGACCAUUGCUCAUUUUUCCGUUUUCAAAUUGUGACAUACACACAGAAGACACACACAACAUCUACGCAUGCGUAUGCCUACGCGUGUGCAUACAGUUUAAAGAUUCGGCUGGUAUAGACGUCUGUAUUCACCUCCCACGUCAGGAAACAGGACCUUUCCAGCCGCCCAGAAGCACUCGUGUUCCUCCUGACAACAGCCCCUCUCCCUGGGGCGACUGGUGCUUGACUUCUGUGACAGCCGUGUCCCUGCUCGGCCUCACAGUCUGGCUCCCCGGGGGGCACCCUCAGCUGAGGCGUGGCGUUUUG
rnacentral:lncRNA from 1 species